rnacentral:rRNA from 1 species
UACGUAGGGACCAAGCGUUGUUCGGAUUUACUGGGCGUAAAGGGCGCGUAGGCGGCAAUUCAAGUCAUCUGUGAAAUCUCCGGGCUUAACUCGGAAUGGUCAGGUGAUACUGCUUUGCUAGAGUGCAGAAGGGGCAAUCGGAAUUCUUGGUGUAGCGGUGAAAUGCGUAGAUAUCAAGAGGAACACCUGAGGUGAAGACGGGGUUGCUGGGCUGACACUGACGCUGAGGCGCGAAAGCUAGGGGGAGCAAACGGG